rnacentral:rRNA from 1 species
UACGUAGGUGGCAAGCGUUGUCCGGAAUUACUGGGUGUAAAGGGAGCGCAGGCGGGGGAACAAGUCAGUUGUGAAAUCCAUGGGCUUAACCCGUGAACUGCAGUUGAAACUGUUCUUCUUGAGUGCAGAAGAGGAGAGUGGAACUCCAUGUGUAGCGGUGGAAUGCGUAGAUAUAUGGAAGAACACCAGUGGCGAAGGCGGCUCUCUGGUCUGUAACUGACGUUGAGGCUCGAAAGCGUGGGGAGCAAACAGG